rnacentral:lncRNA from 10 species
AACAUUGAGAAACCUCUAUCACUUUUGAGCAAGCAGAUUUUAGUUCUUACAUUCAUUGGUUUAAAUUUCCUUUAGCUCUAAAAAGAGCACAUUAUAUCACCUGGAAUUGUCCCAAGUGAAAGCCAAAAGGCUUGUCAUAGCAAUAAAUUGUUCCCCUGCUGGCUUAUGGCUCUGUCCUCUCAAGGACCUUUGAGUUCUUGCUUACAGGAGCCCCAAGCAAUGAAGAAAUAGAACAGCUUCUUUAGAAAUGGUCCGGGAGAGAGACAGAAGAAGUAAAAGGAUGAGGCCAUAUCCCAGAAGCCAAGAAGGCAGAUUCUGUCGAAGAGGGUGACAGGGUGCCCUACACUGUAAAAUGCUUCAAACAGAUUUAGGAGAGUGAGGACCAAAAAGCUGUGACCUUGACAACCAGAAAUUCACAGUGACCUUUGAGGAAACAGUUUUCUCAAGAUGUGGAAAUGGAAGUCAGAAUGCAAAGAGUUGAGGAGCAAGUGCAUGGUGGUGAAGCCAACCUAUUUUUUAAUUAACCAGGGUCAAUGUACUUUAAAAGUCUUCAGAAUGCCUGUAAGUUUCCUUUACUAGUUCCAUGUACUUUCUUGUUUUCCCAUAAAAAUCUGGAUUUGUGGCAGAAGAGAAUGAAAAAAAUUAAAAAUUAAAAGCGCUGCUUUUCCUUAAGCACUGACAAAAUACAAUAAAAGCUGAUUCUUAUUAAG